rnacentral:pre_miRNA from 1 species
GUAUUACUCCUUCCGUUCGGAAUUACUUGUCGCGGAAAUGGAUGUAUCUAGAUGUAUUUUAGUUCUAGAUACAUCCAUAUCCGAGACAAGUAAUUCCGAACGGAGGGAGUAAUUU